UACGGAGGGUGCGAGCGUUGUCCGGAAUCACUGGGCGUAAAGGGCGCGUAGGCGGUUCGUUAAGUUGCUGGUGAAAUCCCGGGGCUCAACUCCGGGGCUGCCGGCAAGACUGGCGGGCUAGAGCACGGUAGAGGCGGAUGGAAUUCCCGGUGUAGCGGUGGAAUGCGUAGAUAUGCGGAGGAACACCGAUGGCGAAGGCAAUCCCCUGGACCUGUACUGACGCUCAUGCACGAAAGCGUGGGGAGCAAACAGG
rnacentral:rRNA from 1 species